rnacentral:misc_RNA from 1 species
GAAAUGCGAUAAGUAAUGUGAAUUGCAGAAUUCAGUGAAUCAUCGAAUCUUUGAACGCACAUUGCGCCCGCCAGUAUUCUGGCGGGCAUGCCUGUCCGAGCGUCAUUUCAACCAUCAAGCCCCGGGCUUGUGUUGGGGACCUGCGGCUGCCCGCAGGCCCUGAAAACCAGUGGCGGGCUCGCUGUCACACCGAGCGUAGUAGCAAUCACCUCGCUCAGGGCGUGCUGCGGGUUCCGGCCGUUAAACAGCCUUACAAAACCCAAGGUUGACCUCGGAUCAGGUAGGAAGACCCGCUGAACUUAAGC